AGUGAACGCUGGCGGCAGGCCUAACACAUGCAAGUCGAGCGGCAGCGGGUCCUUCGGGAUGCCGGCGAGCGGCGGACGGGUGAGGAAUGCAUCGGAAUCUACCCUGUUGUGGGGGAUAACGUAGGGAAACUUACGCUAAUACCGCAUACGACCUACGGGUGAAAGUGGGGGACCUUCGGGCCUCACGCGAUUGGAUGAGCCGAUGCCGGAUUAGCUAGUUGGUAGGGUAAAGGCCUACCAAGGCGACGAUCCGUAGCUGGUCUGAGAGGAUGAUCAGCCACACUGGAACUGAGACACGGUCCAGACUCCUACGGGAGGCAGCAGUGGGGAAUAUUGGACAAUGGGCGCAAGCCUGAUCCAGCCAUGCCGCGUGUGUGAAGAAGGCC
rnacentral:rRNA from 1 species